AUCCUGGCUCAGGACGAACGCUGGCGGCGUGCUUAACACAUGCAAGUCGAACGAAGCGGCAGUGAAGGAGGCUUCGGCCAAUGGAUCUGUCGACUUAGUGGCGGACGGGUGAGUAACGCGUGAGCAACCUGCCUUUCAGAGGGGGAUAACGUUUGGAAACGAACGCUAAUACCGCAUAACAUAGCGGAGCCGCAUGACUCUGCUAUCAAAGGAGCAAUCCGCUGGAAGAUGGGCUCGCGUCCGAUUAGAUAGUUGGUGGGGUAACGGCCUACCAAGUCGACGAUCGGUAGCCGGACUGAGAGGUUGAACGGCCACAUUGGGACUGAGACACGGCCCAGACUCCUACGGGAGGCAGCAGUGGGGAAUAUUGCACAAUGGGCGAAAGCCUGAUGCAGCAACGCCGCGUGAGGGAAGACGGUUUUCGGAUUGUAAACCUCUGUCCUUGGUGAAGAUAGUGACGGUAGCCGAGGAGGAAGCCACGGCUAACUACGUGCC
rnacentral:rRNA from 1 species